rnacentral:rRNA from 1 species
AGAGUUUGAUCAUGGCUCAGGACGAACGCUGGCGGCGUGCCUAAUACAUGCAAGUCGAGCGGAGUUGAUGAGGUGCUUGCACCUCUGAUACUUAGCGGCGGACGGGUGAGUAACACGUAGGCAACCUGCCCUCAAGACCGGGAUAACAUUCGGAAACGAAUGCUAAGACCGGAUACGCAAGUCUGUCGCAUGAUGGGCUU